GCUUGCUCACUCUGCUGUACGAGCGGCGGACGGGUGAGUAAUGCUUGGGAAUAUGCCUUAUGGUGGGGGACAACAGUUGGAAACGACUGCUAAUACCGCAUGAUGUCUACGGACCAAAGUGGGGGACCUUCGGGCCUCACGCCAUAAGAUUAGCCCAAGUGGGAUUAGCUAGUUGGUGAGGUAAUGGCUCACCAAGGCGACGAUCCCUAGCUGGUUUGAGAGGAUGAUCAGCCACACUGGGACUGAGACACGGCCCAGACUCCUACGGGAGGCAGCAGUGGGGAAUAUUGCACAAUGGGCGCAAGCCUGAUGCAGCCAUGCCGCGUGUGUGAAGAAGGCCUUCGGGUUGUAAAGCACUUUCAGUAAGGAGGAAAGGUUAAGUGUUAAUAGCGCUUAGCUGUGACGUUACUUACAGAAGAAGCACCGGCUAACUCCGUGCCAGCAGCCGCGGUAAUACGGAGGGUGCGAGCGUUAAUCGGAAUUACUGGGCGUAAAGCGUACGCAGGCGGUUUGUUAAGCGAGAUGUGAAAGCCCCGGGCUCAACCUGGGAACUGCAUUUCGAACUGGCAAACUAGAGUGUGAUAGAGGGUGGUAGAAUU
rnacentral:rRNA from 1 species